GACGAACGCUGGCGGCGUGCUUAACACAUGCCAGUCGAACGGAAAGGCCCUGCUUUUGUGGGGUGCUCGAGUGGCGAACGGGUGAGUAACACGUGUGUAACCUGCCCUUGACUUUGGGAUAACUUCAGGAAACUGGGGCUAAUACCGGAUAGGAGCUCCUGCUGCAUGGUGGGGGUUGGAAAGUUUCGGCGGUUGGGGAUGGACUCGCGGCUUAUCAGCUUUGUGGUGGGGUAGGGGCUUACCAAGGCUUUGACGGGUAGCCGGCCUGAGAGGGUGACCGGCCACAUUGGGACUGAGAUACGGCCCAGACUCCUACGGGAGGCAGCAGUGGGGAAUAUUGCACAAUGGGCGGAAGCCUGAUGCAGCAACGCCGCGUGCGGGAUGACGGCCUUCGGGUUGUAAACCGCUUUCGCCUGUGACGAAGCGUGAGUGACGGUAAUGGGUAAAGAAGCACCGGCUAACUACGUG
rnacentral:rRNA from 1 species